ensembl:lncRNA
AAAAAGCAAAAAAAAAAAAAAAAAAAAAAAAAAAAAAAAAAAAAAGGCAAUCUAAUGUGAAUGCUGUUUUACUUCCAGUACUGAGGCACUAUGAAGCUGCUGUUUACCUGCCAAAAGGUGAGGGUAGCCAGGCAAACAUAUACAGCUAUUGACAUGAACACCAAUAGUCUAUGUGUACUUCAGUUCAGCUUUCAGGAUUGGAUUGGAAGAUACAGGAUUCUGUAUCUUCCAAGAUACAUAUAACAAAAUCAUUUUUAGGAUUCAUAUAGUAAUAAUCAAGACACUAAAGAAACUCAUGAUCUAAAUAGCCAAGUCUGUCUGUUAAAACUUUUACUCACUGAAACAUAAGAUAAAUACAAGUCACCAAAUAUGAAUCUGGCUUUCAAGAUGCAAUCUGACUGAUUUCAGUAUGAGAUACAGGUCUUCAGAUUGCAUGAGGCAGCUUUUCUCACCCCCAAGCUCCAUCCUUCCCAAUACUAGUGCUAUAUGCACUUCCAGCUAAAUGCCUGUUUACAUUUGAGUUUUUGGAAAAAAUAGGGAUUAUUUAUUAUAAUGAGAAACAGUUUUGAUUUUAAAUGUACCCAGCAUUCAUGAGUGUUCAACCGUGGAAGAAGAAAAAAGUUUUAAGUCCAUCUCUGUUAUAUUGCUUGAGAAAAAGACGUGUAAAGUGCAAAACAGAAAAGAAAAAGAUAAAACUUAAUUCAUUGCCAUUUUUCCAUCACCAGAGAAAGGCCGGACACAGUAAAAAAUUAGAAAGAACAUUUUGUUAUUAUCUAACUAUACACUUAGCCUCCCACCUGCCUCUACUGGCCUACAUGGUAAUCAAAGUGACAAAGAAAAAGAUAGCAUAUUACAGCGCGUAUCGCAAAGAAAAGAACACACGUCUAUGAGGGUAUAACAGUGCACCAUGACCCGCAGCAUGCUAUCUCAGAAAAAUGCAUCCCACUCAUGCAGUGACAUCAUAGGCAUUUUCAACACCUUUUAAAGUGUACACAGAUCCUCUGACCUUUGACUUUUUGUGCUGCAAGGGAGAAGAUUUAACUUGACAAACAGACAAGCAUGAAGAUGUGUCCCCUCCUUGGGUUUUCAGGCUACUGUGACAGUCCAAAAAAUGACCAGAAUUACCAGCCAAUUGGCAUGAUGCUGAUGCAAGUCCUCCAAAUGUGCAGCUGCUGCCCUGGCAUCCAUGGUGAUUUUAAUAGCAGUGGUGGCAUGUAUUAAUUAAAUCAGCAGGGAAACAGCAAGUUUAUGACAUGGCUUAAAGGAAAACUGAAUGUACAUCAUUAAUACAGAGGAGAAAAGGCUCACAGCGACUGACAGGAGCACAUGAAGCAGGAGGCUGAUUAAUAUUGACCGCAGGUAGCGCUCCCUGCCACGCCACCACCGCGGAGGCCUUGACAGUUCCAUGACCCUCAUCCUCGCACUGCUCCCCUCCCUCCGGCUGCCUCCCACUCUGCUACUUGAACAAAACAUCACAUCAGCAUUGUUUACUGCAGGAACUCAGCCAAGGAAGUCAUAACAAGACAAUAGACAUACAAUCUGAUAACCUUGUUAGCUCGGUGGAAUCAGAGCUCCUAACAAGUAGAAGAGUUCAGUAAAGCAGAAUAAAAGUAUUACAGUAUUUGUUGUCAAUGGCUUUUCAGCUCCGUCUUUGAAAACGUAGCAUUUCUUGUGCUUUUAUUUAAGAUUAAAGCUAAGCUCAAGGCCACUAAACAAAAUAGAAUGAACAAGGUCAGACAUGACUUAAAAAAAAAAAAAAAACAACAAAAUGAUAACCAGAACAGAGAGACAGACUCCUUCAUUGUGUCCAAACAGCAGCAAGUAAAACUAUAUAAAAAGGAUGAGUUUACCAUUCAAAAAUCACCGUGCAGAAACAAUCUGCAAGGCACUGUUUCUUAUUUUCUUAAGAGCAAGCUGUGACAGUGCCAGAAGUCUGAAAUGAAGGGCAACAUGCAUGAGCACCAUCACAUUAGCAGAUAAAGAGCAAAUUGGUGACCCCAGUCAUGUCAGAGCAGCAUCACUGCUUCUCCAGGCAAGGAGCCAGAACCUCCCAGAUGAUGCCCCCCUUCCCACAGCAGUGUCCUUGCUCUGACCGGUGCCCCAGAACAGGGAAGAAGCCAGAAGUCAGCACUUCUCACACGCUUGCUGCUCUGGGGCCACUUGUCCUGCUAGAGCAUCUGUGUGUGUGUGCAUACUAAUUUGUUACCAGCUGGCCACAAGCCUGGCAAAUGCUGGUUUUAUUCGAUAUAAUGUUCUUUUUUGUUUUGGUUUGGUUUGGUUUGGUUUGGUUUGGUUGGUUUUUUUUGGUGAUGAUCAGAAGCCAUCAUUAAUAGAACUCUUUGUAUUUUUCAUUUUCCAUAACUAUUAAUUUCCUCUCCAUUACCUAGCCAAAUGGUGGCACCUUUCAUUUUAAAGUAUCCUGAGUUAAAGUUCAAUGAAGACCUAAUAAAUACUUUAACAGAAAGUUGUGUGCAUUACUGAAUAAUGUCUGGAAUUCUAGAAAGGGAGAACAUAUUAUCUGUGGUAUUGAAUUUCUUUCCCUGGAGGAAUAAUAUAUC